UUUGGAAAGCGAAAUCGAAGAGAGACUAUUGAUUUCGGGUUUUAUUUUUGAAGUGACGAUUGAUUGGAUUGGGUUUGACAACUCGCAAAGAUCGGUUGAAUACGACUCUUACCAUCCUACCUUGAACGAUGAACGAAUUUCCUCAAGUAAAUCACCACUCUAUAUGUGAUUCAGCUGUAAGUUCAUUGCUCUCAAAUUCCUAUUUAUCCUCUUAUGUCCCUUAUAAUUUGUGUUUUAUGAUACUCUUAACUUUAAUUGUUGUUAUAUAGUAUUAGGAAUGAAGGUUCGACUAACAUCGGUUGCAUCUUCCUCACGAGCUUCUUCUUCUCCAUCCUCUGAUCGCUUUUACUCUCACUAGUUCUUGAGAAGUAACACCUAAAGAAGCAUAAUUAUUGUGCAAAUUUGAGAUGAUCGAUUCAUCAUACAAAUUGACACCCUAUUUCCCUCUCAACUCAGUGGCUGUGAGUCUGAUGUAAACCAAUAUGAUUCAGGUAUUGGAUUCAAAUUCUUCAAGAAAAUUCCAAUAUUUUUUUGUUCAAACAUCAACAAUAGUCAGAUUAAUAAGCUCCAUGGAUACACUUCAAACCCCUCAAUGGUAUUGAGAUACAUAUGGCUUAGUGAAAUUCUUAUUUAUGGCAGAGGCUAUCAGGCCAAAAGUAAUAUUCAUUGUGAUGUCAUUUCAAAAGCUUACAAUAUGCUUUGGGAUGAUGUAUGUUAUUUACUCAUAACUGAUAAUUCAUUAAAAAAAUUCUUUCUCUUAAUGUUCAUUACGAGGUUCGGUUAUUAUUUCUUUCCAGUUUGAUAUAUCUUAGGAUAAAUUUAUACGCAUAACUGAUGAGAAGCAUGAAAAGAUUGUAAAGGAAUUCUAUUACAGUAGUGACAUUUUACAGAGCGGAUUAUGAGGGAUUUUAUUGUAUUAACUACGAGGAGUAUAAGGUGAGAUUCUUCAUUUUAACUUGUACAUCUUGCAUUUUUUUGAACUUUCUUCUUACAUUUUCUUUGUUAAUUUUAGAGGUUUUACAAUUUUUUUUUGUUAAAUUAAUACAACAUGAUGGAUGAGUUGUUCAAUCAAUUAGUAAUUUUAAAAUACGCCCUGUGCACCUUAAGCCACGUGUUUCACGAAAAUAUGACAAUUACUUUUUUUCUCUUUCAAAGUACCAGGAGAAAUUGGAAGAGACUCUAGAGAAUUAGA